AACAGUCGCCCAGCAUGUCCAAAGGAGCACUACAGGGCCAGUGGUAAUGAGAAGGUUUUGUCAAAAAUCCUUCUGGACCCAGUGGAUCAUAAACACAUAUAUCUGCAGUUUGAAAAACAGAUUGAGCGUGUAACAGUGUUGAACUGCGGAGAAUACACUAGUGUGGAGGACUGUCGUACGGAUCCAUUCUGUGUCUGGUGUGUCUCUGAGAAAAGCUGCACAUUUAGUCAAGAUGACUGUAAAGACGACUGGGUGUCCAUCCCUGAUGAAUACCAACAGGAAGUGAUUUCCUACAGAGUUGAG